rnacentral:rRNA from 1 species
UACGUAGGGACCGAGCGUUGUCCGGAAUCAUUGGGCGUAAAGAGCGUGUAGGCGGCUUGCUAAGUCUUGCGUGAAAUCUCGGGGCUCAACCCCGAGCGGUCGUGGGAAACUGGCAGGCUAGAGUGCGGGAGAGGAGAAUGGAAUUCCUGGUGUAGCGGUGAAAUGCGCAGAUAUCAGGAGGAACACCAAUGGCGAAGGCAGCUCGCUGGAACGGUACUGACGCUGAGGCGCGAAAGCGUGGGGAGCGAACAGG